UACGGGGGGGGCAAGCGUUGUUCGGAAUUACUGGGCGUAAAGGGCGCGUAGGCGGCCUCUGCAAGUCGACUGUGAAAUCUCCGGGCUUAACCCAGAAAGGUCAGCCGAUACUGCAGGGCUAGAGUGCAGAAGGGGCAACUGGAAUUCUCGGUGUAGCGGUGAAAUGCGUAGAUAUCGAGAGGAACACCUGCGGCGAAGGCGGGUUGCUGGGCUGACACUGACGCUGACAGCGCGAAAGCUAGGGGAGCGAACGGG
rnacentral:rRNA from 1 species